AAAUUGAAUUGUUGAUAUUACAACACUAGACAGUACAACUUAUAACAGUCAUAACUACCAUUUAUUAAGUUUAUAUAACAAACAUUAUGCUUUUGUCUCGUCCGGAUGGACAACUAUGUAGUCACGUCUUCGUGCCUGCUUUACCAACAGAAUUUAGAGUACAAAAAAGUAGGUAAAUCGGGGCGCUCUCUAUCCACCCGCGCUGCCCGUGUUGCCCGCGCUAUCGCCAUGUUUCAUUACGUUUUCUGUUUUUGUAGAACCAACAGACUUUUCGUCAGUUAUAUUGCAUAGAGUGUUUUCUUUGUGUAGCAAACAUACCUAAACGUAAGAGAUAUUAUUCAUCGGAUUUUUCUGCGAAAACAGACUUAUGGGCGACGUAAGCAUCGUCGCCACUCGCGUGAUAAACAUUCACGUGCUAAACAUAACCUCUCCAAAAGCCCAACGGUCGAUAGAUCUGCAUUUUUAUUCAGAUUUUGCUUGUCUUCUCGAGAAAAGUUGUCCCGAGCCUUAUCUGAGUUCCUCGAUUUUAUGAAGCGUCGAGAGUUCUUCCUAGCAAUUAACCCAGGAGAUACGGAUAUAACCAGACAGAUCUUAUCCGAGGGUUCCUUAGUCUCAGCAGAGGCAUUGUCAGAGGUCACGUACUUUUCUGACAGACAUGCAGAUGAGCAGACGAUCCAGGACAAGAAUCGGGGGGUGUACCAGAGGGCUCGCCUAUCGUGGAGAGGAUGAACAGCGUUACUUCCGACAACUCUCAGGUAUCAGAUAUAAUGGACCAGAAUAACCUCAGCGAGGUAAAGCAACCGUCGGAAAAUUUUUUCGAGAAACUGUUUAGCGUGCCAACGCAAUCGCCUGAUGUAACCUUGUGGCUCCAAGCUAUUCUAGAGGCAACAAAAUUUAACGUUUGUUCAGGCCUGAAGAAAGACUUCAAAAAGAGUUUCCUUGCAAAAUAUGAGCCUGAGGAGGGGCUCUCAUUCCUCGCACCACCUAAGGUAAAUAAGGAGAUUCUCCCUAACCUCAGUGCCUUGUGACACGCGACACACAUCAGAGCCAGGCCCAAUCACAGGUAGAAGCUUCGCUCAAUGCCCUUGCUAGUGGAAUUUCCGAGCUCUUAAAGUUAGAUGUCCUACAGGCAUCAACAGCAGGAAAAGCCGCUAUCUCUAAAAUAGCAGAUGGUAUUUGUCUAAUAGCGAAUCUCCAUUAUGGACUAUCUAAGGCAAAGCGAGCCUUUAUAGUACCCUCGCUAUAUUUUUCGGGUAAAGCCGCCUCCGAUUUAGCUGCGGUGGAUGAAUAUCUAUUUGGUAAUAAUUUCUCCGAAAAAGUGAAUGCCGCUCAGAUUAUCGAGAAGGUGGCCAAUAAAAUGGCCAGAAAAUCUCACCAUUCAGCUAUCCUGAAGACUAAGCCUACAGUACAACAGUCAGCGCAGAAAAAUCAAUUUUAUUGCAUUUUACAUACACUUUCAAAAAACAGGAGGGCCUCUCCUCGCAGAACCUCGUCAACUCACAGAGCGAGGAGGGGUUCUUACCAAUCGAAGACCAGCAGGAGGUCUCGAUCCAGAUCACAAGCGCGCCGUUACAGUAAGAUCCGCAGGCCGCUUGGCUUUAUUUUUAGACCGCUGGAAGGAACUCACUUCGGAUCAGGUAGUUUUUGAGGCUGUCAGGGGUUUUAAGAUUCUCUUCGCCUUAUCUCCAUUACCUCGGUCUAGGUUAAAAGAGCCUUAUCUUUUUCCAAAAGAUUCAGUGCUUUGUAAAACAAAAAUCCAGCGUCUUAUAAGAAAGGACGCUGUAAUGAGAGUGGAGCCGUCCGACGAUCAGUUUUUAUGCUUCUUUUUUGUAAUUAGAAAAUCCGGAGGCGGGACCUGUUUUAUUUUAAAUCUUAAAGACUUAAAUUCAUAUAUUUUGUCCCCACACUUUAAACUAGAGGACUGGUACCGUCAUUUAACUUAUGCUUCUUAAUUACAGAAUGGCUACUAUUGAUCUGGAGGACGCGUACCUUCUAGUACCCAUGCACCCCUCAUGCAGGAAAUUCCUCCGUUUUCAUUUGAAAAACAAAGUGUAUGAGUUCACCUUCUUGCCCUUUAGUCUUGCGGUCGCACCAUACAUUUUUACAAAUAUAUUACGUCCUGUAUUCAGAAGUUUACGUGAAGAAGGUUUCCAGUCAAUUGUUUAUCUUGAUGAUUUCUUGUUUUUAAGUGCUUCUCAGGAGGAUUGUAAAAAUAAUGUGCAAGCAUUCAUUGAAUUACUAUCUUCCUUAGGUUUUCUCAUCAACUACUCCAAAUCUCAGCUGUUACCUUUGACCAAAUGUAAAUAUUUAGGGUUCAUAUUUGAUUCUGUUUAUCAAUUAGUGUCAAUUUCAGUUGAUAAAAAAGAGAAGUUAUUUGCACUAACCCAAAGCUUUGCUCAAAACUCACACUGUACCAUUAGAGACUUUGCAGCCUUAAUCGGAUCACUAAUGUCUAUUUUUCCAGCUGUUCAAUACAGCCUCCUCUAUACCAAGAGAUUCAAAGGAGAAAAGUUUCUAACGUUGGAAUCGCAUGCGGGGGACUUCUCAAAACAGAUGACAAUCCCUGCAUAUUAACAAGAGGAUUUUGUCUGGUGGCUCAGAGUAUUUUUUGACAGAAAACAGGCUAAUUCCAUUUGCGCAGACCAGUUUGCUUGUGAGAUUUUUUUAGAUGCGUCGUUAACAGGAUGGGGAGCAUUAUGUGAUAUCCAACAAACUCAUGGCUGGUGGUCAGACGAAGAUAAAUGCCUCCAUAUCAAUGCUUUGGAGCUAAAGGCUGCCUUUUUCGCCUUGAGGUGUUUCGCUCUUGACCUCGCCGAUUCCAACGUGCUUCUUCGAAUCGACAAUACCACCGCCAUUUCGUACAUAAACAGAUUUGGCUCUGUCCAGCACCCUCUUCUAUCAGACAUUGCCAGAGGUACCUGGAGGUGGUGUGAAAGCCGAAAAAUAUUUAUUUUUGCAUCUUACAUUGCCUCAAUAGAAAAUAUUAUUGCGGAUACCGAACGCUUUUCCAAUACAGAUACGGAAUGGACCUUAUCGGAUCAGAUUUUUAUUCAGAUUAAGGGGGGUAUUUGGGUCUUUUGACAUAGAUCUCUUUGCGUCGUUAAUUAAUGCCAAGGUAGACAGAUAUGUCUCUUGGCACCCUGAUCCAGGGUCUUGGACAAUUGACGCCUUUAUGUUGUCGUGGUCCCCGUAUUACUUCUAUGCCUUCCCCCCUUUCAUUUUGCUUCUUAGAGUUUUACGCAAAAUUUGUGACAAUCAGGCGACAGGAAUCUUAAUUAUACCCUGGUGGCUUUCUCAACCGUGGUUUUCCAUGUUUAAGCAAUUAUUAAUUUCUGAUUCGUUAAUUUUUGAGCCUUCUCAAUCCCUGUUGUUUUCUUCUUUCAAAACCUAUCAUCCAGAAUGGAGACGUCUUUCUCUGGCAGCAGGGAGAUUAUCAGGGAAGCAUUGACUCGUCAGUCAGUUCCUCCGUCAGCUUUGGAGAUCAUGCUAGCAUCCUUAUCUGAAGCUAUGAUCAAACAAUACACAAAACCUUUAAGAUCCUGGUGUCAUUUUUGCUAGGUAUAUCAGACACCCCUCUACUUGCCGGAGAUAGACAGAGUCCUAGAAUUCCUGACACAGGAAGUAAAGGACAUUGGUUGCUAUUUUACUUUCAACACCACUCGAUCAGCCAUUUCCCUCAUUUUGGAGGGAUCGAUUGGUAGUCAUUAUUUAAUUAAGAGGUUUGCUAAGGGUGUUAGCACACUUAAACCGCAGAAAUCAAGAUAUAAUUUUGUUUGGGAUCCAGCCCCGGUAAUCUCAGAGGUAGCAAAAUUUUUUCUUUACGAUAACUAGUCAUUGGAGAUUAUUACCAGAAGAUUAGCUCUGCUGUUAGCUUUAAGGUCAGGUCAGCGUUUGCAGACAUUAGCAGCCAUUAGAAUUACACACAUUUUUAGGGAAAAUAAUAGGUUGCUUAUCAGAAUUCCAGAUCGUCUAAAAACCUCGGCGCCAGGUCGUACUUAGCCUACUCUUACUUUUUCUCAGUUUCUGGAUCGCCCAGACCUUUGUAUCAUAACGUUGUUAAAUUGCUAUUUACAGCGAACAGAGGAUUUGCAGCUCCAGAAGUGUGACUCUUUAUUUAUUUCUUGGGUAAAACCACAUAAACCAGUUGGAACCCAAUCAACAAGCCGCUGGAUCCAAAAAACCUUGAAAGAAUGCGGAGUUCAGACAAAUAUGUAUUCUCGGCUCAUAGUACGCGACAUGCAUCUAUCUGGCUCGUGGUCAAGAGAGGUGCACCUCUUGACAUUAUUAAGAGAGCAACGGGCUGGUCUGGGGAAUCUCAGAUCUUUGCUAAAUUUUAUAAUUGCCCCAUUAUUAAUCCGGAUACGUUUUGUAACUCUGUCCUUCUUUCUUAGGUUUUUUCACUUUUGCUAUUGUCAGACUCUAGCGGCUUCAGACUAAUUGUUAUUGUUUGUACGAGUUUAGAUUUAACCUCACUCUUAGAUAAGAUUAUAUCUAGUGUAUACACCACAGGAUGUACGAGUAUAAUAAAACACUCUGUAUUAUUGUAAUCUGCAAUUCAUAAAAAUGUAAUAUGGAUAUUUACAUUAGAGUACGAUUAGUCGCAAAUUGCGCUAUAAACAACUACAUAGUUGUUCACCCGGACGAGACAGAGGCAUAAUUGUAAGAUUAAACGAACUCACCGAGUGAAGUUCGAUCUUAAUUACGCCCUGGCUUGUCCGGAUGGACCUUCCACGCCCUAAACAAUCUUUACGCUUCUCCCAUCCAGUUAGGCGAUUUGUUUCAGUGCUUUAAAAUAAUGAAACAUGGCGAUAGCGCGGACAACAUGGGCAGCGCGGGUGGGUAGAGAGCGCCCCGAUUUACCUAUUUUUUCGUACUCUAAAUUCUGUUGGUAAAGCAAGCACGAAGAUGUGACUACAUAGUUGUCCAUCCGGACGAGUCAGGGCAUAAUUAAGAUCGAACUUCACUCGGUGAGUUCGUUUAAUCUUACAAUUUUAUUUUAGUAAUGUAAUUGUUAUAAAACUGAAUUAUUAAUACUCUUGUAUAACAAAUAGGAUGCAACUGUUAUGUAACUAUUAUUUUUCUUAUGAGUGGGAAAUUACAACUAACAUUACAUGUACCACACGUAAUGUUAGUUGUAAUUUCCCAUUAACAUUACAUGUGCGUUACAUGGACAUUACAUGUAACGCAAUGUUAUAUUGCGUGUUACUUCCGAUUUUAUUCUAUUAACAUUGCUGUUAUGCAACUGUGUUUACUGGGAUUUAUAAUCUUAAA